AGUGAACGCUGGCGGUAGGCCUAACACACGCAAGUCGAACGGCAGCACAGUAAGAGCUUGCUCUUACGGGUGGCGAGUGGCGGACGGGUGAGGAAUACAUCGGAAUCUACUUUUUCGUGGGGGAUAACGUAGGGAAACUUACGCUAAUACCGCAUACGAUCUACGGGUGAAAGCAGGGGAUCUUCGGACCUUGCGCGAUUGAAUGAGCCGGUGUCGGAUUAGCUAGUUGGCGAGGUAAAGGCCCGCCAAGGCGACGAUCCGUAGCUGGUCUGAGAGGAUGAUCAGCCACACUGGAACUGAGACACGGUCCAGACUCCUACGGGAGGCAGCAGUGGGGAAUAUUGGACAAUGGGCGCAAGCCUGAUCCAGCCAUACCGCGUGAGUGAAGAAGGCCUUCGGAUUGUAAAGCCCUUUUGUUGGGAAAGAAAAGCAGCAGAUUAAUACCCCGCUGUUCUGACGGUACCCAAAGAAUAAGCACCGGCUAACUUCGUG
rnacentral:rRNA from 1 species